AUAAUUUUUUUGUGGAAGCAAAAAAAAAUUGGAUUGUAGAGAAUUAAUAUUAUACUAUUUUACCAAGGAAAAAAAGUCUUUAAAAAUACAUUUUAUACUAAAAAAGAAAAGAGAAAAUAUUGCUAACGAAGUUAAAAGCAAUUGUAAAGCAUUAAAAAUCAAUCGUUAGAGAACGUUAAGAUCGUAAAGGAAACCAUGCUUGUUAGAUUUACCAGUAUUACGUGCAAUCUAGAUUCGUCAGCCAUCGUUAAGGCAUAAUUUCUGCUGGCUUACACACACUUUCGUUUGGAGAAAAGUAUGCUUGUAGAGAGGGUAUAGUUAUCUACCUUUCUUCAAUAUUACUGAAUCCUUCUUAGGAUCCAGACGUAUAACUCACGAGUCAGAGAUAAAAAGAAAACGGGUGCUCUUUAAGAAAGAAGGAGAGAGAAAAAGAGA